rnacentral:rRNA from 1 species
AUACGGAGGGUCCAAGCGUUAUCCGGAAUCAUUGGGUUUAAAGGGUCCGCAGGCGGUCAAUUAAGUCAGAGGUGAAAGCCCAUCGCUCAACGAUGGAACUGCCUUUGAUACUGGUUGACUUGAGUUAUACGGAAGUAGAUAGAAUAAGUAGUGUAGCGGUGAAAUGCAUAGAUAUUACUUAGAAUACCGAUUGCAAAGGCAGUCUACUACGUAUAUACUGACGCUGAGGGACGAAAGCGUGGGGAGCGAACAGGAUUAGAAACCCUAGUAGUCC